CAGUCGCCGCGGGAACACGGAGGGGGCUAGCGUUGUUCGGAAUUACUGGGCGUAAAGCGCACGUAGGCGGCUUGGUAAGUUAGAGGUGAAAGCCCGGAGCUCAACUCCGGAAUUGCCUUUAAGACUGCCGAGCUAGUAGGUGAGAGAGGUAAGUGGAGUUCCGAGUGUAGAGGUGAAAUUCGUAGAUAUUCGGAAGAACACCAGUGGCGAAGGCGGCUUACUGGCUCAUUCUAGACGCUGAGGUGCGAAAGCGUGGGGAGCAAACAGGAUUAGAUACCCCAGUAGUCCCUGUCUCUUAUAC
rnacentral:rRNA from 1 species